AAUGGUCGAGUGGUUAAAGAGGCAAGCUAGCGAUGCAACGAAGCUCCUGCCCCGGGUUCGAAUCCAGCAUU
rnacentral:tRNA from 1 species